rnacentral:rRNA from 1 species
CCUACGGGAGGCAGCAGUAGGGAAUUUUCGUCAAUGGGCGCAAGCCUGAACGAGCGAUGCCGCGUGAGUGCAGAAGGCCUUCGGGUCGUAAAGCUCUGUUGCGGGGGAAAAAAGGCAGCAUCAGGAAAUGGGUGCUGACUGAUGGUGCCCCGCCAGAAAGUCACGGCUAACUACGUGCCAGCAGCCGCGGUAAUACGAAGGUGGCGAGUGUUAUCCGGAAGGAUUGGGAGUAAGGGGUGCGCAGGCGGUCCGGAAAGUCUGGUGUGAAACGCAUGAGCUCAACUCAUGCAUGGCUUUGGAAACUGGAGGACUGGAGAGCAGGAGAGGGCGGUGGAACUCCAUGUGUAGCGGUAAAAUGCGUAGAUAUAUGGAAGAACACCAGUGGCGAAGGCGGCCGCCUGGCCUGUUGCUGACGCUGAGGCACGAAAGCGUGGGGAGCAAAUAGGAUUAGAUACCCUGGUAGUC